GUCGAACGGGACUAUACUGGAAGAAGUUUUCGGAUGGAUUUCGGUAUAGUUUAGUGGCGGACGGGUGAGUAACACGUGAGCAACCUGCCUUCGAGAGGGGAAUAACGGCUGGAAACGGUCGCUAAUACCGCAUAACAUACUGGGAGGACAUCCUGCUGGUAUCAAAGAUUUAUCGCUCGAAGAUGGGCUCGCGUCCGAUUAGGUAGUUGGUGAGGUAACGGCUCACCAAGCCGACGAUCGGUAGCCGGACUGAGAGGUUGAACGGCCACAUUGGGACUGAGACACGGCCCAGACUCCUACGGGAGGCAGCAGUGGGGGAUAUUGCACAAUGGGGGAAACCCUGAUGCAGCGACGCCGCGUGUGGGAAGACGGUCCUCUGGAUUGUAAACCACUGUCCCCAGGGACGAAAAUGACGGUACCUGGGGAGGAAGCUCCGGCUAACUACGUGCCAGCAGCCGCGGUAAUACGUAGGGAGCGAGCGUUGUCCGGAAUUACUGGGUGUAAAAGGAGCGUAGGCGGGGAUGCAAGUUGGGUGUCAAAACUACCGGCUCAACUGGUAGUCGCACUCAAAACUGCAGCUCUUGAGUGCAGGAGAGGUAAGCGGAAUUCCUGGUGUAGCGGUGAAAUGCGUAGAUAUCAGGAGGAACACCAGUGGCGAAGGCGGCUUACUGGACUGUA
rnacentral:rRNA from 1 species